CCUACGGGUGGCUGCAGUGGGGAAUAUUGGACAAUGGGGGAAACCCUGAUCCAGCAAUGCCGCGUGUGUGAAGAAGGCCUGCGGGUUGUAAAGCACUUUCGGUUGGGAAGAAAAGUUUGGCGCCAAUACCGCCGAACCUUGACGUUACUGACAGAAGAAGCACCGGCUAACUCUGUGCCAGCAGCCGCGGUAAUACCGAGGGUGCAAGCGUUAAUCGGAGUGUGUGGACGUAAAGCGUGAGUAGGUGUGUGAAAUCCCCGGGCUUAACCUGGGAACUGCAGUCGAUACUAUAUGGCUAGAGUAUGGUAGAGGGAAGUGGAAUUUCCGGUGUAGCGGUGAAAUGCGUAGAUAUCGGAAGGAACACCAAUGGCGAAGGCAGCUUCCUGGACUAAUACUGACACUGAGGCACGAAAGCGUGGGUAGCAAACAGGAUUAGAUACCCGUGUAGUC
rnacentral:rRNA from 1 species